rnacentral:sRNA from 1 species
UAUCAAGCAUGUUGCCGAAGACAGUAGGUGCCAAGUGAUAUAAUCACAGGCGUAAUUCUUGUAAGACCCUACCGAGGAACAAAGAAUUAUUUUGAUUCUCUACCUCUCUGUCUUUGUGGCAGAGAGGUUUUUAUGUGU